rnacentral:lncRNA from 1 species
AAUAACAUUAUAAACAUCAUAAGAUCAUGCACACUCUGUAACAUAACACAUAUCAUACUUUUGUAUUUCAAUCAUCAGGCAACAAAUUUCCUCUUUUAUCAGCUUACUAGUAUCCAUGGGGAUCCAUAGGGGUCCUCGCUACACGUGAACUAUUCACCUUAAUUCCAGAGCCGUCCUCAUACCCCAUCCGGUAUGAGUGACAAAAUCAUAAACUUCAAUACCCCGUCCGGUAUGAGGGUGAAGCGGGCUGUCCCCAUACCCCGUUCGGUAUGAGCGCCAAAAUAUUUAAAGUCUCCAUAC